UACGUAGGGUGCGAGCGUUAAUCGGAAUUACUGGGCGUAAAGCGUGCGCAGGCGGUUUUGUAAGCCAGAUGUGAAAUCCCCGGGCUUAACCUGGGAAUGGCAUUUGGGACUGCAAGGCUCGAGUGCGGCAGAGGAGACUGGAAUUCCUGGUGUAGCAGUGAAAUGCGUAGAGAUCAGGAGGAACACCCGUGGCGAAGGCGGCCCUCUGGCUCGACCCUGACGCUGAGAGGCGAAAGCGUGGGGAGCGAACGGG
rnacentral:rRNA from 1 species